ACUUGAUCAGCUCUGCAGAUGUCAGUUGAGGCAUCUUCUUCGUGAAGCUCAUGAGGAGCCUGGAAAGACAGAGGGGGUGACUCCCAAAGAGAAGAGGCGGCUGAUCAAAGCUGUGCCACGCAAAUCUGGUACAACAGGGAAGAAAAUUCAAGCCCUGUUGAUCUAUUUGGUGCAACCUCUUGCUUGCUGUGCAAAAGGUCCUCCUGGGUUAAAAAGUCAAAUGGGAAAAUCAAGCAGGUUUUUAGACUGCAGAGUUAAUCUCCAGUUUCAGAGAGCAAUCAGUGAAGCACAGGAGGAAGAAAAAUCUGAAACCAACACAAAAAUAGCAUUACAUUUCAGCAAACACUCAAACGGUAAGUGAGGUUUACCCUAUCAUGCAUGCAGUCCAGCAUGUCUCCGCGGCAGCAGUCCUUGUGCAUGUUAGCAACAUCCAUCACAAGUUUGCUAACAGUAACAAAAUCAGCUUUAGGGAAUUUUUGGCUUAUCUGAGCAAGUUUCCUACAACAAAGAAAAACAGUUAUUGUUUCGAAUCACAGUGUGAGGCUGUGAUAGCUCCUCUCAUUUUAUUGUGCAGGGGGUAUCCAAACUGCUCAGGAAUGGUCUCUUCCCUGCUUACGUUAAUAAAUGUUCCUUGAAGGCAAGAGCUGAGAUUGUCAGGGUUGUCUUAGGACCCCAGGCUACUUUCACAGUGAGAUGGUGGAAGGAAAUGUGGUAGGUGGGCGCAAAAAAAUCACAGGAGCAACCGUGUGUCAAAACUAGGUAAGAGAGAUGAGUUGUAUUUUGCUCACAAUUGCUCCAACUUUCGUUCCAGAGAGCUGUAUUCCUUUCAGACUUUGGGUUUAGAUUUUGAAAGGUAAUGGCAGUUUUUAAGGAAACAAUGACAGCUGUCAUGUCUAAAUUUGGAUUUCUAAUCUGUCUUCCUUGUUAGAUGCUGCUUUUGAGCUGCAUAUGACAAGGACACUGCUGGUAUUUGAGUCACUGUGCUAUGUGCAGGUGCGGAGCUGCCCACAGCUAACACACAACAUCCGUGCUUCGUUUCAAAAUAAGAUGGACAUGGGGAGCACUCACAGAGCCUUCAAGGUCCUUUCUCCAAACUUGUGCAAGAUUCCACAUGUGUGUUCUUGCCUUAGGCCAUCUUCUUUUAUUGGCUUCACCACCUUUGGUGCCUGGUAGAAAGAAGAUGCAGACUGUGAAAGAGGAUAAAAAGACAAGGCAAUGCUUUGCACUAAAACUACUGCUGUGAUUGUUUUUUAAACAAGGACCUUUUAAUAGUGAAAGAAAAACACUGUCCAAGCUGCAAUAUGAA